rnacentral:lncRNA from 1 species
UUCAUUAAGAAUAAUUUUCAAUGACCACUUGUUCUAUUUGUUUUUAAGUGAAAUACUUUUGACAAUGCAGCAGUACCUAAUGGCUUCAGUACUGCGUAUUUUAAGAGCUCACAAUAGCUUCUAUUUGAUACUAAUGAAACCUGUCACUGAUUUGAGAAGAAAAAACAAAAGUUUUGACUUAGAAUAGUGCCCAAGUAAGGGUUUAAGUUUCUGCAAAACAAGAGUGCUGGAAUUUAGUCCAAAGCCCUUAGGCUUGCUGGGCAAUGAAUUCACCUGCUGGAGACUGAGAACACUUGACGUUGCCUAAUAAAUGGGGCACUCACUGACCAUGUGAUAGUCUACUCUGCCCCAAGCAAAAUGUCACAGAACUGCUGCCACUUCUGCAUUUCUCAAAAAAAAAAAAAAAAAAAAAAAGGUUAGGAAUUCUAGUUAGUAUACAGUUAAGCCAGAGGGAGUUCUCCUUCUGUGUUCUAUAGGUAAACAAUCUGAAGACCAAGCAAUUAUUGCAAUUGUUUCACCAUUACCAAUAAGUUUUUCUAGAAAACUAACCAUGUUCUCUUUAUCCUCAACACCAUGUAUAAUAACACUUGUGAUUGAAUACCCCCUUUUUUCUUGAUGAGAGAAGGCUAAUUUUUCCAGGUAACUGCCCGUAAGUGGUGACCACAGAUAUAAUCGCUUUCUAAAUUCUGAUUGAUCUAAAUGAGUCAACCUAAUUCACCCUCCUUAAAUGUAUGAUUUAAGCAAGAAUAAUAAGUAUUUCCGACCUAUAACAGAUAGAGAGUGUCUGCUGGAACACUUCUGAGAAAUAUAUUCUCACUUUAAAGUUGAAAUUUUGUAUAUGGGAAAUAAAAAAAAAAGAUAUUUGGUAAAUGAUAUGGUUGAGAUAUUGAAUUAAUCAGUCUUCAAUUUCCUAUUAGUAUGUACACAUUUUCUCCUUGUUUAAGCCUGCUGAAACUAGAUUUUCUUUUACUUACAGCCAAAAGCACUCCAACAUGCCACUUUAACAUGUUUGUGAGGGCAUAAUCAGUCCAUGAUCAUCUGCUUAGCGGCUUGUCUCAAUGGUCAGGUUGUUAUCCCUUGCCUCAACUUGUCCUUAUUGUUCCACCACAUAAUCAAUCGCUGGAUAGUCCAUCCUGAUAAGUUCCACUUGCUGAAAGCUCUUUCCCAUUUGAGGAGAGCAACAGAAGUGAACUUGUAUUAAAAUAGAUGCAACCAAUGCUGAUGGUGUUAUAUGUGAUGGCAUUGUAUGAAUGGGAGCACCACUGUUUAACAGUUCUUCACUCAGACUGUCCUGGUUGCCCACAAAACGUUCUUUGAAACAACAGAAUAAAGGUUAAAUUCUCUGCCAGACACUGAAGACAAUGUUUACAUGCUGUUUUAAUAAGCAAAAGGAGCACAGUUAUUGGAAAGAUAUUUAGAUCAAGCUAGUUAUCUACCUUACCCCUAACAAACUGCAAGAAGAAGAAAUGCAAAACACUUCAAUAAAUCACAGAUUCUUUACCAGCAUCAGGAACAUUUCUGGCUCUUGACCCUCAAAAAUGGAUUGUCUAGUAAAUUUUGGACUCUCUUUUCAUAAUAAAAUUUAAAUAAGAUAUACAUUUGAGUUCUGGAAAUUCUUGCCUAUACAUCAAGGCAUGGAAUAGUGGAGCACUAAAAUCCUUUACUCUGAAGGCAAAAGUGUUGAUUAGGAAAUCAUAGGGUCUAUAAGUCCCCCAGUGGAUGACUUACAUACAGUUAAAAACACAUUUUAGAAUUUAUUUGCUUACAAAACUUUCAUGAAGAUAAAAAGGACAGCAAAAGGAAAAAUUCCUCAGCAUUGUAAUCCACAGCAGAUCCUACAAAACGUUGAAUGAAUUGGAUCAAAGAGAACAUGGUGUGACAACCGAAUGAGGCAGCGGGAAACAGGGCAGAACCGCAGCCCAACACAGACAGAUAACAAGGAAUUAAAAGUAGGUGCUUUGUGGAGCCCACUGAAGGAUAGCAACCACCUUUAAAUGCACUUGAAUAAAGACCCAAUUUAAGAUUUUAGAUCUGAGAUACUGACGAGGCAAAGUGUAAAAAUUGUCUUCAAUCAGUAAUAGGAUACUGCUCUAAGAAAAUACAUAUCUGGCAUAAGUUAGCGUAGAGCAAGAAGAGGACCUGGAAACUGG